CUCAGUUUGGCCACGGGGCUGGCGACGUCUGGCUGGAGGGCGUGAGCUGCUCGGGUCAGGAGUCUCUCAUCAGCGAGUGCCAGCUGAGCCGGCUGGGUCCUGGGCUGUGUGGCCGUGGCUCCGAGGCCAGCGUGGUGUGUGCCGGGCAGGCCGGUCCUGGGCUACUUUGCUCUGUGCUUCUUGGUCUGGGUGCCCUCGUGGUGCUGAUCUGCUGCAUCCUGCUCUGCUGGAGGAUGUGUCGGGACAGAGCCGCUGGGAACCCCCUGAGCCACAUGCCCCUGGAGGAGCUGGGGGCUCCAAGGACCCCGGCCCAGCCCCAGGCAGCAGCAAAUCCAAAGCCCCCUGAGGAGCCCGACAGCGAUAUGACCUGGCUGGUGAGGGAAGACGCUGUGCUGUGAGAGCCGCAUGCCGGCUGGGCUGGGCUGGGCUGGGCUCAGCCUGCAGUGAGACGGGCCGGUGGGAUCCUGCCCAGAGCAGCCCCAUUACCAUCCCCAACUGCUUUGGAAACCUCCUCUGCUCCAUCCUCCCUCCCCCAAAGCUUUCCCUGGUGCAGGUCCCACGCCCAUCCC
rnacentral:lncRNA from 1 species